rnacentral:sRNA from 1 species
UAUACUUACAAUCUAAAAAAAGUUAGGAUAUGCAAGAUUAGGCGGAGAUUAAUUGGAAAUAAAUCAGAUUAAACGAAAAAUAAUAAAAUAACUAACUUUUUAAGGGAUUAGUCAUUAGUCGAGGCAAAUAGAAUGAGUCUAGUGAUUAAACCGAGAUUAAUCGGACUAAGCGGGGAUUUUUAGAACAAGACU